rnacentral:rRNA from 1 species
ACAGCUGCCGAGGAGAAGCUUCUUUGCGAGUGUUGGCGAGACAUUGGACAAGACCCAAAGAUGGGCACCAAGAAAAAGCAUUCGACCUUUUGGACUCAUGUGCACCGCGAGUUUCAUGAGCGCAAGAAGUUUCCACCUUACCAAUUUGUGAGCACGCGCGGGUGGAUCUCAAUUUCCAAGUGGUGGAGGGUGAUCCAACAAGAGUGCAACAAGUUUUGCGCCACCCUUGAGAGCGCCAAAGCCCGCCCCGUGAGCGGCAUCGGCAUGCAAGACAUGGCAUUUCAAACUUUGAAGGCAUUCAAGGUUCAACACAAUGGCAAGUGCUUCAACCUCUCCCAUUGCUAUCGGGUCAUCAAG